rnacentral:tRNA from 1 species
GACCUAGUAGCUCAGUCGGUAGAGCACCUGACUUUUAAUCAGGGUGUCCCGCGUUCGAGUCGCGGCUGGGUCACCA